CCUACGGGAGGCAGCAGUGAGGAAUAUUGGUCAAUGGGCGAGAGCCUGAACCAGCCAAGUCGCGUGAGGGAAGACGGUCCUAUGGAUUGUAAACCUCUUUUGCCGGGGAGCAAAAAGCGGUACGUGUACCGCAUCGAGAGUCCCCGGAGAAAAAUCAUCGGCUAACUCCGUGCCAGCAGCCGCGGUAAUACGGGGGAUGCGAGCGUUAUCCGGAUUUAUUGGGUUUAAAGGGUGCGCAGGAGGCGGGUGAAGUCAGCGGUAAAAUUUCGGGGCAAAACCCCGACGAGCCGUUGAAACUGGCUGGCUAGAGUGAGCGAGAAGUAGGCGGAAUGCGUGGUGUAGCGGUGAAAUGCAUAGAUAUCACGCAGAACUCCGAUUGCGAAGGCAGCAUACCGGCGCCCAACUGACGCUCAGGCACGAAAGCGUGGGUAUCGAACAGGAUUAGAUACCCUAGUAGUC
rnacentral:rRNA from 1 species